rnacentral:misc_RNA from 1 species
AACCUUCAACUCUCAAAGUAU